GACAGAGGGUGCAAACGUUGCUCGGAAUUACUGGGCGUAAAGCGCGUGUAGGUGGAUUGGUGUGUCAGAUGUGAAAUCCCUGGGCUCAACCCAGGAACUGCACCUGAGACUACCAGUCUUGAGUGGUGGAGAGGGAAGUGGAAUUCCUGGUGUAGAGGUGAAAUUCGUAGAUAUCAGGAGGAACACCAGUGGCGAAGGCGGCUUCCUGGACACCAACUGACGCUGAGACGCGAAAGCGUGGGGAGCAAACAGG
rnacentral:rRNA from 1 species